AUGCUCACUUUGGCAGUACAUAUACUAAAAUUGGAACAAUACAAAGAUUAGCAUGGCCCCUGCACAAGGAUGACAUGUAAAUUCGUGAAGCGUUCCAUAUUUUG